UGCUGUCGUCUCUGGGCUGAUUGGAAGAGGCAAUCAUUCUAUCUGCGGCCGGAGGAUUAGCCGCUAAACUUUUAUUGCUCCCUUUUGUGUGUGUGUGUGUGUGUGCGUGCGUGUAUGGGGGUGUGUAAAUGGAGAAGUCGCCUCUCAAAGGGGAAAAUCUUUUCAAUUUCCUUUUGGCAGGUGCAGUUCAAGGAGGAACUCACGAGCGUUUUGUCUGAUCCAUGAACUGAUUAGGGGAGGGGAAACGAUCCUUCUCCUCUUACUCUUCCUUUCCCAGUUUUGAAAUCAUUCUUUCCCCACCACCGCCACCCUCCCGCCCUUCCCCUCCCCUUCCCCUUCCCCUGCACUGAAUGAAUGGAAGAGUCUCCAGGGUUUUCUUCUUCUUCUCGCCCUGGAGUGGAGAAGUGAGGGGACAUCUCUCUAUCCUCUUCCAUCUCUAUCUCGCUCCAUCCAUUCCCGAGAGGAUUUCAAACGGUGCAAUGUGUUUUCAGCCUCUUGCCGCUGCUACCACUUGAUACUAUGCUACGCGCAGGGAGAGGGUUUUGCAAAAAUGGAUUUGUUCGAUUUUAAAGGAUUUCUUCUCUAAUAAGGAUCGCAUUGCACACAAAUAUGACUAAAUCCCCUAUUUGGUAAAUCUUUCUUCCCCCCACCCCUCCUCUUUGGGUUCCCUCCUGCCCGCCCCCACCCCUUCAGAGGAGCAAGCACAGGGAGCUGAUGACGGACCCAUUAAUCCCUUCUUCAAUGCAUCAAAAGAAGCCGAAGGGCUGGAAGUCGCUGGGCUCGGAGUCCUGCAGGAAAUGCUUCGAUCUGCUUUUGGUUUUGUACGAAACUGGUGACUAGGGGUUCGGCUCGCCCCGCCGCCGCCGCCCGCCGGCACCUGGAUGCGCGGGCCACCGCCGCCGCCGCCGCCUUGCCCGCCGCCGCGAUGCAACGCUUCUGGUGGUGCUGAUGGUAGCUCGGGUGUGAUGGGAUCGAGCCGGCGGUGAUUAUUUGAAGGCGGUGAGGGAGAGCGAGCGAGAGGAAGGGCUGCUCCGCUCUGCUGUGUGUGGGCUUCGGGAUUAUUAUUUUUUCUUCUUCUUCUUCUUCUUCUUUUUCUUUUCCUACUUCCAUCCUCUCCCCGCCACUGGAAGUCCUCCCGUAUCUAAAUGGAAUUAGUGGAGACCGAAGCCCCUUGUGUAAGGAACAGACAUGACCCAUGGGCGCAGCUUCUUUCACAUUGUAGCAAGUCUAAUCAUUCUACAUUUGUCUGGGGCAACCAAAAAAGGAACAGAAAAGCAAACUACUUCCGAAGGACAGAAACCAGUGCAGUGUGGAACUUGGACAAAAUAUGCAGAAGGAGGCAUCUUCACUUCUCCCAAUUACCCCAACAAGUAUCCUCCUGACAGAGAGUGUGUCUACAUUAUAGAAGCUGCCCCUAGACAAUGCAUUGAACUACACUUUGAUGAAAAAUAUUCCAUAGAGCCUUCGUGGGAGUGUAAAUUUGACCAUAUUGAAGUACGAGAUGGACCUUUUGGCUUUUCCCCAAUCAUUGGACGUUUCUGUGGACAGCAAAAUCCGCCUAUGAUAAAAUCCAGUGGCAGAUUCCUAUGGAUUAAAUUUUUUGCUGAUGGUGAGCUGGAAUCUAUCGGGUUUUCUGCUCGGUAUAAUUUUACACCUGAUCCGGAUUUUAAGGACCUUGGCGUUUUGAAACCAUUGCCAGUUUGUGAGUUUGAGAUGGGAGGACCUGAAGGAAUUGUGGAAUCUGUACAAAUUGUCAAAGAAGGAAAAGCUUCUGAAACUGAAGCGGUAGACUGUAAAUGGUACAUCCGAGCACCACCCCGAUCCAAGAUCUAUUUGCGAUUCUUGGACUAUGAGAUGCAGAAUUCCAACGAAUGUAAAAGGAAUUUUGUAGCUGUCUAUGACGGAAGCAGCUCCGUGGAGGAUUUGAAAGCGAAGUUUUGCAGCACUGUUGCUAAUGAUGUAAUGCUGCGGACAGGCCUUGGUGUAAUCCGCAUGUGGGCAGAUGAAGGCAGUCGAAGCAGCCGAUUCCAGAUGCUCUUCACAUCCUUCCAAGAACCCCCUUGUGAAGCCAACACAUUCUUUUGCCACAGUAAUAUGUGUAUUAAUAAUACAUUGGUCUGCAAUGGACUCCAGAACUGUGUGUAUCCUUGGGAUGAAAAUCACUGCAAAGAAAAAAGAAAAGCUAACCUAUUGGACCAACUUACCAAUACCAGUGGGACUAUAAUUGGGGUGACUUCUUGCAUUGUGAUCAUCCUCAUUGUUAUCUCUGUUAUAGUACAGAUCAAGCAGCCUCGUAAAAAAUUUGUCCAAAGGAAAACAGACUUUGAUCAAACAGUGUUCCAGGAGGUGUUUGAGCCUCCUCAUUAUGAGUUAUGCACCCUCAGAGGGACAGGGACUACAGCUGACCUUGCUGAUGUUGCAGAUGACUUUGAAAAUUAUCAUAAACUGCGGAGAUCAUCUUCAAAAUGCAUUCAUGACCAUCACUGUGGAUCACAAGUGUCUAGCAUUAAGGGCAGCCGUAGUAACCUCAGCACAAGAGAUGCUUCUGUCUUGACAGAAAUACAACCCCAGCCUGUAAAACCACUCAUUCAGCCCAUGAACAGGAGAAAUAUCCUUGUCAUGAAGCAUAGCUACUCACAAGAUGCUGCAGAUGCGUGUGAGAUAGACGAAAUUGAAGAGGUACCAACCACAAGUCACAGGCUGUCCAGACAUGAUAAAGCUGUUCAGCGCCAUAACAUUCCAGGUUCUGCCUCAUUGGGUCUCUAAGCAAACAUGAGUCUGAGUACAACACAACUAGGGUCUAAGAGACAGACUGGAGACUGCUUGAGAAUAGUGCGCUCCUGGGUGAUUUUGAACAUGCUACAAUGAAAUGUGAAACUAUCGUCCUUGGAAACACCAGCUAGAGGUUUUAUGGACUCUCUGACCAGCUAUUCUCAUAUCAUGACAAAAUUCAGCAAACAGUGUUGAGUAAAAUUACUAGAAGGCAAUAAGACUUUGGUUAUUAUGCUUAUUGGUCAUUUCUCUUUUUCUUUUUCUCUCCUCUUUUUGUUGCAAGUUAAAUUCCCAAUUUCAGGAACAGUUUAUUGAAAUCAGGUAUUUAGCCAUUCAUAAUCACUUCAAUAGAAAUGUCUGUUGGAUAAGCAUCUAGCAAUAUGACUGAAUUUGACAUUGAGAAAAUAAUCUGCAUGUAUGUUACUGAAUAUUUGAGUUGGAAAAAAUCCCUUUAUUAGAUACAUUGUAAAAAGCAUGCAUUCACAAUUAUUGCUGUUACUGUUCCAUUUCUGUGUCAUAUGCUUGCUACUUGUAACUUUUUAUAUAAAGAUACAUAAAACAAUGUAUAAUAAUUUCUUACCUUGAGUUUAAUGGCAAUGUUUUCUUUUACCAAAUUUUCAAAUCUUGUGUAAUUCGGGAGAUUAAACUCAAAAUGUAGCUUCUAGGAACUUGAAACCCAGAUACAUCAGAGAAUCAGCUGUCUCUCGUCCCUCACUUAUUGAAAAGCAAAACACAUUAAUAUCUCAAGAUUUAAAUGUAUUCAUAAUACAUAAAGUUGAUCACUUAAUUUCAGUUAAAAGGUUUGUGAUAACCUUUAUGUUCAAUUCUGAACUCUUACCUAAUUUAUUUCCAGGAUAAGUAUUAGGAAGUUUGCUUCAGUGUAGCAGGUUUUUAUCAGUUAUACAAAUGUUAUGGUUGGGAUCCAAUUUUAGAGAUACAGGUAUAAACCACUUCCUUAUGCAAGAUAAAAUGAUAUUCAUAAUUCAAGAUAUAAGCAUUAGUAACCAACACCAAAAUCAGACCUGGUAGGUUAAGUUAUUAAGGAAUUACUGUAGAUUGGAAAGCCACAAUUAUGGAAAGUUGAAACCGCCCUCAUUUAAGAACUCAGUAACCAUGUGUAAAAUUAUAGUUUUGUUAUCUAUUUAAAGUAUUAUGUUCCAAAUUCUGUUUCAAAACAAAUCCCAGUUCCUUCUUAAAUAUAUCGUGUCAUUUGUGGUCAUUAGGUUUUUCUGUAUAAAAAAAAUUUGCUAGUUUUAUUGAAAAAGCUGGAAGAAUUCCAUGGAUAUUCCCAAAGUAUAGAUGUCAAAAGAGAAAACCUGAAAGACUGACAUAAAAAAUAAACUGAUCUGUAUAAGCUAUUUAAAUAUAUAAUACAUAAUUUACAUAAUUAAAAAUACAGGAAAUCUGUUUUCUACAAAGCAAUUUCUACAAAUAUGAUUUAGGAAUCACAUGAGAAGAAGGAGGGUUUCAGAUAUUUUGCCUCCCUUUUUGUACGCUAUAUUUGCAAUGUAUUUUACAUAGUUUGAUUUUACCUUGAUUAAUUUGUUUGUUAUCAUAUAUUAGCUGCGAAAAGUCAUCUUUCCUCCUCUACAGUCAUUGAGAGUCAUUGAGUCAUCUCUCAGUAACAUGGAUUUUUAGCAUGCACUGAUAGUUCAUUUCCAGCUCAGUAUCUCUUUCCAAGUUCAUAUACCUUAUCACUCUUUUUUUCCUUAAUCUUUCUAAGUAAGUCCUAUCUCAUAAUCCUUGCUUAAGUAUAUUUUGUUAAGAUAUUUGCCUCAUCUGUGCUUAAAAUUGAUGCAUAUACAUGCAUCCAUUAUAAAAUCAAGGAAGAAUGAAAUACUUGCUGAAAGAAUGCAUAUACAUGCACACACAUCUAUCUAUAUUUAUAAACAUUUGCUGAUGGAGAUAGUGUAUAAACAAAUAUAUAAGGAGAAAUCUAAAUAUGAGAAUUUAGCCUUGAAUUAAUUAUAUUGGUCACCUAGAAAAAUGCUGAAGCCUUGAAUUUCGAAGUUACUAUAUAUUUAAGUGCCUAAAUCCCACUGAAACAUAGAGUUGGUCUAAUCCCUCCUAGACAUGCACACAAUGAAAUCAAUUUUAUGAUUUUUCCAGUGAAGCAAGUGUUGACUGAGGCAACUGAAUUGGAGAAGACAUGGGCAUUAAUAAUUAUGUUGCAUGCACAUCCUUGCUUUCUGAAAAAAAAACCCAACUUGUUUGCAUCAGGGAAAAUGAGUAAGAAACAUAAAAACCUGUGUAAAUAGAGCAGGUCAAGCAAAGUGAAAAUGGUAAUGCUUACUUGAUCUUGGAAACUUCUUCAGAAACAUGUUGUCUAAUAACUAGGUAUACCCUUAAACAAAAAUACCAUUGUAAGUGACAAAAUAUGUGUAUAUUGAGGGAACAAGGUCACAUUAUAAAAUUAUCUAUUAAAAAAGCCUAAACAACAAUAAAUUCAAACCCAAAGUAAACAUUAUAAUUUAAAUAUUUAAUUUUAAGUAAUUAUAUUCUGUAUAUAGUCAGUGUAAAUAAUACCCUAGUCCUCUAUACUGCAAACAGUAAAGAUAACUUUUGUUUGGUAUCACACAAUAGUAGGAUAUAUUAAUGUAAUCUAUAAAACUCAAAAUAAUAAAAUAAA